rnacentral:lncRNA from 1 species
GCCACGUGCUCCAUCAGGUCGGAGCGGAUGGGCACCUUCGCCCCAAACGCGUGACCGGUCCCAGGCCCCCCCGACCCCCAGGGGGACGUUGGCUCGCGGCGUCCGGCCCCGCCCUGGGGCGGUAACGAAGCUGCGGGAGCCGAGACUUCGGGGACCGCUCCCCUUCUUGCAGCCGGAGCUGGGACGGAGGAGGCCGAACGCAGGCAUCGGAAUCGGGAUGAGGGGCAGUAGGAGGCGCUGCCCCCCACGGGUUUUCUCAGAAAGUGAGAGCUCUCCAGGCGCUGGCGUUUGGAUGAAGGCGAGCUACCUACCUUUGGCACCUCUUCGCCGACGGUGAGAGUUUUCGGAGCGACCUCAGUCUGGGGGGCCGAGAGGAAACAUCCGGGCCAGGCCCACCUGUGAGUGACGGCAGGUGGAAGAAAUGAACACAUCCCUCCCCUCCGGACCCCGCCGGCCGGAACCAGGGGAUGUUGGACGUGGCUCCCUCCCCUCUUAAUAUAAAAGACACCUGACCUCUAACGCAGGACCAUGGGGACUUCAGGAGCCACCACGCCACCCGUUGGCUGGAGCAGCGUCAUUCCCACGGGGACUCACCUCCUGACACACAACAGAAGCGGGCUUGCUGGGGCUCCUCCUCAGCUCUGAGUAUCACUCGGCGGGAAAAUGUGGGUCCCCACCUGCACGUGUCAAAUCCCCACGGGGUCCAAGAGCCAGCUCUCGAAAUCACCUUGUAGCUCCGAGAACCCAAGCCACCUCUUCCUUGUUAUUUUGCUAGAUUGUGCCAGAAAGAGGUGAGAGAGAGAGACCAACAGAGCGGGUGGGGGAAAGAGACGGACAGUACGAAGGAAGGACCCUCAAGAUAAGAAAAGAAUUCGGAGUCCCAUUUUUGUCUCUCUAGAGGUUCUCAUUUUUCAGGUUGCCACAGGGACGCUGGUGGAUGUCAGCUCUCGCGUGCAAACCCAAUUCUCCCUGAUCCCACAGCGCCUGGGCCCCGUGACAGCCUGAGUAUGGGGACGUGUCACCCAUUUGUCCUUCUGACCAGGCUCCUGCCACACACCACCCAUCAGCCAUGGUUGGGGGGAGCAGUGUUUUCAGCCCCCCCCACGUGCCUUCUCUCUCCACCUGCUCCACGUUCCUCUGCAGACAGGAUGUGGUGGGAGGGGCCCCCGUUGGGCCCCUUUGCCUCCUCCGUCCCUUUGCCUUGGGUGUCUCUGGGGUCCUUCGAGCUUAGACUGUCCUGAGGCUGAUGGCCUUAGAAUGACUUCCUAGUGACCCCCGUCAAGUUGUUCUGGAAUUCUCCUUUAUUCUGGUGGGGGGGGCGGGGGCGGAGACAAAGGGGGACAGGGGAGCUGAGCCUCCAGGCCCUCUGAUUCCGCACUUCAAGGGUGCAAAGGAAGAGGAACCGGGGAAGCAGAGUGGUCAGGCUGGCUUCUGCAGAUGAUGGGGGAAUGAGGACGCAGGUGCUGCGGGGGCGCUGGGGGAGGCAUGGCGUGGGGAGGGGCACCUGUGGGCCAGGUGCACCAGGGACCCUCUGUGCCUCCCCUGCCUCUGCGUCUCCUACCCGCUUCCUGCCAAACCUCUUUGAUCCCCCUGCCCCGUUCCCCCCCCCCAACCCCACGGGGUCUGCACGGUGGCCGCAGCAGCCUGCGUGGGAAGGGGGUUAUCGGUCCACAGCGCGCCAGCCGCUGGCAUCUUUUAUGGGAUUCCGAAACCGUGGCGAGAGGAGGGACAUUUUUCUGCCGAGCUUCCCCCAGGAGAAAGAGAGGGGAAAAAAAAAAAAAGAGGAAUGGGAGAGAUGAAAAGCCUUUUUCCUCCUUCUCAAAUUGGAACCGGACUUCAGAUGAAAAUGCUGCACCUUGAGGGUUGUGAUAAGAUGGAGAAAACCGCUCUCGAAGCGUCUGAGGCAGCGUCUCUCUCUUAUCUU